rnacentral:rRNA from 1 species
ACGAACGCUGGCGGCGUGCUUCACACAUGCAAGUCGAACGGAAAGGCCCUGCUUUUGUGGGGUGCUCGAGUGGCGAACGGGUGAGUAACACGUGAGUAACCUGCCCUUGACUUUGGGAUAACUUCAGGAAACUGGGGCUAAUACCGGAUAGGAGCUCCUGCUGCAUGGUGGGGGUUGGAAAGUUUCGGCGGUUGGGGAUGGACUCGCGGCUUAUCAGCUUGUUGGUGGGGUAGUGGCUUACCAAGGCUUUGGCGGGUAGCCGGCCUGAGAGGGUGACCGGCCACAUUGGGACUGAGAUACGGCCCAGACUCCAACGGGAGGCAGCAGUGGGGAAUAUUGCACAAUGGGCGGAAGCCUGAUGCAGCAACGCCGCGUGCGGGAUGACGGCCUUCGGGUUGUAAACCGCUUUCGCCUGUGACGAAGCGUGAGUGACGGUAAUGGGUAAAGAAGCACCGGCUAACUACGUG